UCGAGAGUUUGAUCCUGGCUCAGGAUGAACGCUAGCGGCAGGCUUAACACAUGCAAGUCGAGGGGUAUAGUUCUUCGGAGCUAGAGACCGGCGCACGGGUGCGUAACGCGUAUGUAAUCUACCUUUUACAGAGGGAUAGCCCAGAGAAAUUUGGAUUAAUACCUCAUAGUAUGUGAGAAUCGCAUGGUUUUCACAUUAAAGUUCCAACGGUAAAAGAUGAGCAUGCGUCCCAUUAGCUAGAUGGUAAGGUAACGGCUUACCAUGGCAACGAUGGGUAGGGGUCCUGAGAGGGAGAUCCCCCACACUGGUACUGAGACACGGACCAGACUCCGUACGGGA
rnacentral:rRNA from 1 species